rnacentral:lncRNA from 1 species
UGCGUUUAUACAACUUAGAUAAAACUUUUUGACUUAGGCUUUUCUAUUUGCAAGUCCAAGAACUAAAUAGGCUUGUUGCAUUAAUUGGUAUUUUAUGUAGAAAGGUUGGAAGUUGAUUCAUCAGUGUCAUUAAAAAGAAAUGAUCCGUGACAUUAUUUUUCAUUGCACUGAGACACAGUCAACAGAAGUUUGUUUGUUUGUGUGUUUUCUUGUUCAGGUUAGUCCAUUUCGUUUGAUGAUAGAACAGUACUGUGUUUUCCAACUAAGAGUAUAAUCUCACAGAGGGACGACAUGCUAUCAAGAUUUCAGACCUGAGCCCUGACACUUAAAAACAUGCAAAGGUACAGAUUUUGUGCAAGAGGAUGAUUUUGCCCAUGGGCUACAAAGUUAAAAGACUAAGUCUUGGAAAGGAACAACAUGCUGCAUUCAGGAACUACAGCUGUGCCAUCUCAUAAGAAGAUUGCAGCAGAUAUCAGAAACCAGAAAGCAAGUGAGUUUGCCAAUUAUAUGGGUAGAAGAUCUACAAGGAAAUCUAGGUCUUUCAGAAUGAGAUGAGAAGAGGGUAAUUCAAC